AGAAACGUGAGGAGCAGUGAGUUCUGGUUUUGGACAAACACACAAACAAAUCUUGUGAGAGGACAAUGAGUGGAGGAAAGUCUUUGUUCUAUCUUCACUAUCAUUCUGUCACCAUGUUUGUUCCAAACCUGCCGAACAUCCUUGUAUAACAGGGUAAGUGUAAGGAUUCCAUCAUAUCAUCUCUUUUUAGAAAUUACUUUUUACUCUAGAGCAGCAUCUCCUCUUGUUUGUGGGCAGUGUGACAAUGAUGAUUUUAUGCUUUGGUUUUCUGUUAUUUUUAUACUAUUAUGAUAUCAGAUGUCCAAAAUUUGAGGUUGAAGAUAUGUAAAAAAAUACUCCCUGCAAAGUUACUUUUACUUCCUCCUCAUGAUGACCGUUCUGUAGUCUUUGUUGCUGAGAUUGUUCCACAGGUUGUUCAUGUUGUCCACUCAUGUAUUUCGGAUGUGAUGCAUGAAUAUAUUUGAGAGGCUUCCAUUUCAAGUAAAGAAUGAGAAAAAUAAUUGAAAUCCUAAUACUAUUGUUUAAGGCCCCCCUACCAGGGGGCUAUGUAAAGAGACAGAAGCUUUAACGACCUGUAUCAGGCAGAGGCUGAAUUGAGGGGCUGCGUAAAAGGCAUCUCUUGCUGGACCAGUACCCCUCCUGGAACCACUUUGCUGCCCUGGCUGUUGGUGCCAUUUCCUGAGGUUUUGGAUCUGGUUCCCCAUCCUGCAGGAGUUCAGCCUCAUGUGUGCAUGUGUAGUCUGUCCUCCUGCCAGGUCUCCAUGGUGAUGGAGGUCAUGUGGCUCAGGUCCUAUUCUGUCCUAGUGGUACCUGGAAGCUGCUCGAUGUCCUCUUCAUCACAUUCUUCAUAUAUAUUGUAAAUCCAUUAUAAUUUUGUCAUCCUGUUCAAAGCUGGAUUCUAUCAUUUGUGUUUGAUUCUGUACACACAACAUCUAUUGCAUGUCUGUCCGUCCUGGGAGAGGGAUCCCUCUGUUCCUCUUCCUGA